AUUCGUUGCAAGUUCCCGAUAGGUUCUGGAAAAACCCAGAGAUUCCUUGUAACCGAAUAAAAUUAGGGGGAAUAUUUAUAAUG
rnacentral:sRNA from 1 species